GAUGAAGAACGUAGCGAAAUGCGAUAAGUAAUGUGAAUUGCAGAAUUCAGUGAAUCAUCGAAUCUUUGAACGCACAUUGCGCCCCUUGGUAUUCCGAGGGGCAUGCCUGUUCGAGCGUCAUUAUAACCCCUCAAGCUCAGCUUGGUGUUGGGGCCUGCUGCACUGGCAGCCCUUAAAAUCAGUGGCGGCGCCAUCUGGCUCUAAGCGUAGUAAUUCUUCUCGCUAUGGAGUCCUGGUGGAUGCUUGCCAUCAACCCCCAAUUUUUCUAUGGUUGACCUCGGAUCAGGUAGGGAUACCCGCUGAACUUAAGCAUUUCAAUAAGCGGAGGA
rnacentral:misc_RNA from 1 species